rnacentral:rRNA from 1 species
UACGUAGGUGACCAGCGUUGUCCGGAUUUACUGGGCGUAAAGCGCGCGCAGGCGGUCGUUCAAGUCGCGUGUGAAAGCCCCCGGCUCAACUGGGGAGGGUCACGCGAUACUGAUCGACUCGAAGGCAGGAGAGGGAAGUGGAAUUCCCGGUGUAGUGGUGAAAUGCGUAGAUAUCGGGAGGAACACCAGUGGCGAAGGCGACUUCCUGGCCUGUUCUUGACGCUGAGGCGCGAAAGCGUGGGGAGCAAACAGG